AUUGAACGCUGUCUGCAGGCCUAACACAUGCAAGUCGAACGAGUGGCGUACGGGUGAGUCAUGUCUGGGAAACUGCCUGAUGGAGGGGGAUAACUACUGGAAACGGUAGCUAAUACCGCAUACCAUCAGAUGUGCCCAGAUGGGAUUAUCUCGUUGGUGGGUUAACGGCUCACCAAGGCGACGAUCCCUAGCUGGUCUGACAGGAUGAACAGCCACACGGGAACUGGGACACGGUCCAGACUCCUAAGUGAGGCAGCAGUGGGGAAUAUUGCAAAAUGGGCGCAAGCCUGAUGCAGCCAGGCGGCGUGGAUGAAGAAGGCCUGCGGGUGGUAAAGUACUUGCAGCGGGGAGGCGUUACCAGCAGAAGAAGCACAGGCUAACUCCGGGCCAGCAGCCGCGGUAAUUC
rnacentral:rRNA from 1 species